AGCAUCACUGGGCAUGAGACCCAGUCCCAGGUGCCACACCUGGUGCAGGCCCCGGCCCCACCAGAGCAGUAAAUGCGCUCUGCUCACUGUCCACAGGACGCAGAGAUCUCAGCCUUGAGGUUGCAGACCAUCCUGAGGAGAGUGCUGGCGAAGCGUGAGUGUGCCUCACCCCCUGUGGAUCCAGGGGACACGGCCCUCCCCAGCUGGCUGCCCCGGCCUCCUCAGGCCACGGCUGGGGAGAGUCUGAGGGACUCAGUGGCUAGAGUACAGGUUUCCCGGCCCCAGAGGGGCAAAGCUGGCCGCCCUCCGCCAGCCGGCCUGGCACCUGACCACACCCAAGGCUGUCUGACUCUGUCUCCUCGUCUUCUUAAAAAUGGCCCAGUGUCUCAGGGGAGGUGACACGCCGGGACCCACAUGGCUACAGUGACCCUGGGAGUCAGGAAGCACCCAGAGCUGCCCAGCUGUCUGGCUACCUUUAGUGGGAAUCUGUAGUGAUGCCUCACUGAUUGGCAUAAGGGAGAAUCAACGUCCCAUCUCACAACAGGCAGGGAGGCGGCUGCCAGGCCUCAGUCAGGUUGUUCGGCAGUGAGCCUCCUGUCCUCACGGAGCCUGUGCCGCAGAACCAGCCAUGGCUUCUGCACUCCCUGCAGUGGCCAGGAGCCGGGCCAAGGAGGGAUCAAAACUGCAUGGAGACUGGUGCAGCCGUGGCUCCCACAGCCCUUCUGGUGUAAAGCACACCCAGGGUGGACUGCACAUCCCCUCUGUCCACACUGCAGGAGGGAGAAGUACACUUCCCCUCGAUUACCGUGCGGGCCACCCUGCUGGUGAUGAGGCCGUCCAGAGGGGCCCAGAGUGUCGGGAGUCGGAGCCGAGGUGGGAAGCAAAUGCAGCAACUGUCACACUCAGAACCCUCCCCUGGGGGGGGCUAGGAAGUCCCGGCGCCUGAGGCCCCCUUCCCCCUGGGUUGAGUGCUCUGCAAGGCGAGGUCAGGCCAGUGGGUCCUCUGCCUCAGUCUGGCCGCAGCACGGAGGACAGGGGUUUAUCCUCGAGGCCAGCAGGCCCGAGGCCCCAGGCGCUUCCGGCCCGCACGCUGUCCUGAGCCGCAGACGGAGGCCUCAUUGUCCUCGUGGAUGGAGGGCAGGAAGACCCAGGCCGCACUCGGCUCGGGGCUCCCAGGGACAGCAGCUCCCAGGACAGGGCAGGGCAGGGGACAGCCCCAAGGCUCCCUGCUGCCUGGGGACCUGAUGCACCUGUAACAGCCUGUCCCUGCCUGGAGAGCCUGGUGGCUCAGGGGUGGCUCAGGGCAGCCUCCCGGCCCUGGGCCCUGGCUCAAGGGGCCACAGACUCAGUGUCCACACCCGCAGGAGACGGCUGACGCCCUGCCCUUCACGGGUCUCAGCCUGUGACACACAGCCAGAGGCUGCUCCCCGCCCUUGGGGAGCUUAGAGGUCAGCCCUGUCCCCUUCACUUAUUUAAGAAGCACUGGGCCGUGCACUGAGGCACACUUGUAAUCUCCACUACUCGGGAGGCAGAGGCAGGAAGAUCGCUUCAGCUCAGGAGUUCAAACCAGCCUGGGCAACAGUGAGAUUCCUUCUCUAAUAAAUGAGUGAAUAAAAUUAAAAACAAAAAGCACCUUUUAAAACCCUGCUGGCUGCAGCAGACAGAGAAGUCGGGCAGAUGCGCAUGUCCUCUGCAUGGGCAGCGAGGCAGCCCCCGUCUGUGGCUCUGCUGAGCCAUGCUGCUCCGGUGACGCCUGUCCCGCUGUCUCUCAGGACAAGACAUCAAGUCAGACGGCUUCAGCAUCGAGACCUGCAAGAUCAUGGUGGACAUGCUGGACUCGGACGGGAGCGGCAGGCUGGGGCUGAAGGAGUUCUACAUCCUGUGGACGAAGAUCCAGAAGUACCAGGUGGGACCCCUGGGGUCUGGUGGGGACACUGUGGCUGUUCCUCCUGGAGGGGAGGGACAUCUCCAGGGGACAGACUUCCCCGUCACGGAGCUCGAGGAAACAGCAAUGUGAAGACGGACAGACAGACCUGGGGGCCCACGCCCUGCACUCCCGGUGAAGUGGGUGCCAGGAGCCACCUCCAAGGGCUUCCUGAAAAGGGACCCUGGGUCCCUGGGCCUUCAGACUGCAACAGCUCAAGUACCAGCCCCGCUAAGGCCCUGAAUGGGCCCAUGGCAGCCGGCAGCCCUGUGACAGCCACACGUGGAAGGGACGGCCAGUGCCCGUGGCUACGUGAGCAGGGACCUGGGCGCCACGGCCAGGCCAAUGGGGCGCAGCCGGAACCAGUCUGCUUUGCUUCAGGUCAUGAUUUUCCCAACCCUCUUGUGUGUUCCAGAAAAUUUACCGGGAGAUCGACAUAGACAGGUCUGGCACCAUGAACUCCUACGAGAUGCGGAGGGCGCUGGAGGAAGCAGGUAACCCUGUCCCCGUCCUGUGUCUUGCCUGUCGAUGCUGGGCACUGGCUCUGCUCGGUUGCUGCUGCUCCCCACACGAACACCCGGCCCACUGUGGCCACACGGCCAGCUGGCCUUACAACACUGUGGCAGCCCUGCCUCCACGUGUGCUGGCAUCAGAGUCCCGGCCUGGCGGGGAGCACGGGCAGUGCGGGCCACAGCAGACGCCCACACCCCCCUUUCCUGCAGAGCUGGCCAGGCGGGAACAGCCUCCCAGCCCAGCCCUUCCCAGGCCCAGCUGUAGGUAAAGCGUGGUGCCCAGCAGCGGAGACUGGUGUGCUCGGGGACAACAGGACAAUGCCGAGUGCUGUUCGCGGGGACACAGCACCCCAACAGCAACCCCGAGGGCAGCCCGGGGUGGGAAGGGCACCUCCUGCCACCAGGCUCAGCAGCCCUGCCCACUUUCUCAGGGGUGCGGGCUGGCAGAGGGCUCCUUCCCAUCAGGGGCACUGCACACCCGCUCACAGCCACUGCCAGACCUCAGGCCUGACCUGGGGAGCUGCCAGAAGCAGGGCAGGCUCCGCGCUCCACCUCAGUGUGGAAAGAGGAAGUGGGCAUUAGGCUUCUCCACCAGAGAGAAAGUGGCUCCACGGUGAUUCCAAGCUCAACACGAAGGGGCGCGUGGCUGAUGUGAGGCAGCAAGACCAGAAGGGAGGGCGGCGCUAGCUGCCAGGACCAGCAGCAGCAGCACCGGCUUUGGGAAGCAAUGCCAGCCUUAGCACAGCACAGGUCGGGGCCGCUGUGGGCGCUGCAGGUGGCAGGCCUUCCCGGCAGUGUUGGUCACUUGCCCGCCCGCAGGGUUCAGGCUUCCUUGCGAACUGCACCAAGUCAUCGUUGCCCGGUUUGCAGACGACCGAGCUCAUCAUCGACUUUGACAACUUCGUCCGGUGCCUGGUUCGGCUGGAGACGCUGUUCAGUACGUGCUGCCUGGGGAGCACCAGGGUCCUGCUCUGCAGAGCUGCCGUCCCUGGGCACGGUCACCUGACCAGAGGCGGCUGCAGGAGCCGCGCCCACCGGGGUGGAGGGAGGACCGGCCGGGCCGUGGCCUCCUCAGUGACUGACGGGCCGGCCGCAGUGCUCUCAGCCCUCGCACGGCUCCCUUCUCCCCACAGAGAUAUUCAAGCAGCUGGACCCCGAGGACACCGGGACCAUCCAGCUGGACCUCAUCUCUGUAAGUCACAGCUGUCACGAGGGAGGGUCCGGGGGCUCUCGGUGCGGCUCGAGGACCCACUUUCUGCAGCGGUGCUCUCAAGCCUGGUGGUCUCCCGGGAACAGGCCGGCGGGCGGCUCAUCGCUGUCCCGACUCUCGAGGCUAAGGACACCCGGCCUCCUCCCCGAGUGUAGCACAGGUGGCCAGUGGUGCAGGAGGGGCUGAGGGGCCCUGGACGACCCUUGAGUGAGUCUUGGGAAGGCCUGGUGCUCCUCAAACAGACCCACUUAGGAUACUUCAGGAAACUGCUUUCUUGCCUCCCAACCCCCUUUAAAAUAAAACUCGGCAGUAAAUAUGUUUGCCACUCAGUGAUGCCCCAGUAGUGCCCACCCCUCAGGGCUCACUCAUCCACAUUAGCUGGCACCCACUGUCACACAAGACUUGUGCCAUCUGUCGACAGAAGGCCCCUGGAUGAAAGGGAGAGGCCAGCUGUGGGAGGCCGGUGCUGUGGACACCACACACAGGCCACAGGGAGGGGGCAGGACAAGGCCAGUGUUGGGUGGGCGGCAGAGUCCCUGUCCUGACCCCGUGUGACACGGGAGCCGGCAGGCAAGGAGCACAGGGCUAGGGGCCGGCCCCUUUCCUUCCAUUCUGCCCUCUGGAAGGCGCCAACACAUGCAGCUGUCUCCCUGCUGCAGCGCUUUGGAAACACCUUUACCCAGUGGGAAAUCCCGCCUCACUGGCAUUGCCCGGGCAACCUGUCCCCACGCCCACAGUCCCAGCGUUGGCAAGUCAGGGCAGCCGUGGCGACUGGGGUGCCUUGUCCUACCUUGCCCCGGCCCGCUCCUUCCUCCCUUCCACUGAGGCACUGACGGGUCCGGCAAGGGCACACCCACAGUGUGCUGUGAUUUCCCAGUGCAGCCCUGGGUUCCACCCCAGGGGCUCUGCAGAGGCCCUGCCCGGGUGUGUCACAGACCUGGUCAAGGGUGGGACUGCAAGCUCCCAUGUGUACUGGGGCCCUGCGGGACCUCCUGACCCAAGCGCUGCUGAGCGGGUAGAAGCUCCACACAGCAGGCAGCUGAGGAAGGCGUGUUAGCACUCAGCCCUGGCACAACCCUCGGUCUCCCAGAGUAAUCCGAAGGUGCCGGAAGGGGUCCGAAGCAGUGGCUGACACGACCGUGCUCUCCUCUGCAGUGGCUGUGUUUCUCGGUGCUGUGAAGGGGUGCCCAGCACGCCUGGAGGCUACAGAGGACCCAGGGACUGAGUCUGGACACCUGGAUCGGGCUUGGCACUGUGGGACAUUACGUACACUGAGGACUGUAGCUGAGAACACUGUCUGAGAUAGCCAGACUGUCCCGCCAGGUAGAAGGUUUGCUUAUUAUACAAGUGCAAGUGAGCUGCUUAACCCCUGACAAGCCCAAAGGAAGCCUACACCUACAAACAGUACCCACUUUUCACUUUGACACGCUUUCCUGUUCGGAGCAAUGCUAAACCAGGAGGACAAGGAGGUGUUUUAAAUCAGUCUCCAGGCCAAGAGUAACGGGGAUGCUGAGUUUUAAAAUGCAGAGGUGGCGGCGUCGCCCCCCCAGCAGCCCAGGGACAGUGGCCUCAGCAAGGCAGCGAGAGCCCGGGGAGGAAAGCGCCCUCCUCAUGGGCCAGAUGAGAGCAGGGCGUGCACAGUGCUCAGGUCCUUGUACACGCUCAGCCCUGGGCCUUCACAGGGUCCCACACGUGACUGGUGAGGCUGUGGCCAAGCCAGGCUGGUUGCAAACUGAGGGCUAAGACCCUGGCCCUGCACUCCGUGUCCUCGGUGCCUUUCCGUGGUGAGGGAGGGCGUCCUGGAGGAGACGCCGCAGCUGCUUCUGGGCCUGACCUCGGGAAAGCUGCGACACUAAAACCAUUGCCUUUGCCUUACCACCUUCCUAGUGUCCUGUUGAAUAAAGUUGCCCGACAGCCACCCCGCGCUGUGUUUUCUUCCCCGGGGGCACCUGAGGGGCG
rnacentral:lncRNA from 1 species